GUCAUCCUUAGGUGAUUAGUGGCAUCAAUUAAUACAGGGAUCAAUACAGAGAAGAUUAGCAUGACCCAUGUGAAAAGGGUGACACGCAAAUCUGUGUUGAUUAGUGACUAGUU
ensembl:snRNA U6 U6 spliceosomal RNA